rnacentral:tRNA from 1 species
GCGGAAGUGGCGGAAUUGGUAGACGCGCUGGAUUCAGGGUCCAGUGUCCAAAAGAUGUGCGGGUUCGAGUCCCGCCUUCCGCA